CCCGAGUACAUCCUAUUUUGCCUCUCUUCACUGUUACCUCUUCAUCUCAUCACCAAGCCAGAAAGGUGAGAACAACUGCCAAGCUCAGACUCCAUUUCAAGUUAGACUAAAAUAUGUCUGUGUAACCGAAUUACCAUUUUAACCUGCCUGAAGAAAGAUGCUGCAUCUGUCCUUCUGCAACAGAAACUCUGGAGCAGAGAGGAGGCAAAGGCUGGAACUGCUGACACCAUUCAAAGCCUGUGAAAUAAAUCAGCAAAGUGGAAACAGAAGUCAGGUAAGAGCUUCUGAGAUGGGAGCUGCGACAACGGCAAGCUGUGCUCAGAGCUGUUCUUGCAAAUGUAAGCAUAGAAGCCAUGACU